rnacentral:rRNA from 1 species
GACGAACGCUGGCGGCGUGCUUAACACAUGCAAGUCGAACGGAAAGGCCCUGCUUUUGUGGGGUGCUCGAGUGGCGAACGGGUGAGUAACACGUGAGUAACCUGCCCUUGACUUUGGGAUAACUUCAGGAAACUGGGGCUAAUACCGGAUAGGAGCUCCUGCUGCAUGGUGGGGGUUGGAAAGUUUCGGCGGUGGGGAUGGACUCGCGGCUUAUCAGCUUGUUGGUGGGGUAGUGGCUUACCAAGGCUUUGACGGGUAGCCGGCCUGAGAGGGUGACCGGCCACAUUGGGACUGAGAUACGGCCCAGACUCCUACGGGAGGCAGCAGUGGGGAAUAUUGCACAAUGGGCGGAAGCCUGAUGCAGCAACGCCGCGUGCGGGAUGACGGCCUUCGGGUUGUAAACCGCUUUCGCCUGUGACGAAGCGUGAGUGACGGUAAUGGGUAAAGAAGCACCGGCUAACUACGUG